rnacentral:rRNA from 1 species
CACAUCUAAGGAAGGCAGCAGGCGCGAAAAUUACCCAAUACUAAUACAGUGAGGUAGUAACAAUAAAUAACACAGCCCAGCAUUUCAUGUUGGGCUUUUGGAAUGAGAACAAUUUAAAUCCAUUAUCGAGGAUCAAUUGGAGGGCAAGUCUGGUGCCAGCAGCCGCGGUAAUUCCAGCUCCAAUAGCGUAUAUUAAAGUUGCUGCAGUUAAAAAGCUCGUAGUUGGAUUUCUAGCGAGGCACGAGAAUAUCCACCUAUGGUGAAUACUUCUCUCGCCUUGCUCUUCUUUAGUUGAUGUCUCUGGCAUUAAGUUGUCGGAGUCCUGAGACUAAUCGUUUACUGUGAGAAAAUUAGGGUGUUCAAAGCAGGCUUAUGCCGUUGAAUAUAUUAGCAUGGAAUAAUAAGAUAGGACUUCGGUACUAUUUUGUUGGUUUGCGUACUGAUGUAAUGAUAAAUAGGGACUGGCGUGGGUAUUCGUAUUUUAAUGUCAGAGGUGAAAUUCUUAGAUUAUUGAAAGACGGACGACUGCGAAAGCAUCUACCAAGUAUGUUUUCAUUAAUCAAGAACGAAAGUAUGGGGAUCGAAGAUGAUUAGAUACCAUCGUAGUCUAUACCAUAAACUAUGCCGA